UUUAAACAUGGAGGAUAAGAAAUGUUUCAUCAAUGCUCAGGUGUCAUUCGAGGUGUUAAACAUUUAGUUUUUCACACAUAAUAUGCCGUACAGAAAUUUUGUUUGUAUGUGUCCAUUUGGAUCCUCAACCUAAACCCUAGAGAUCUUGAGUUCUUGACAAUGGCGAUGCGAAGAUUAUUAUUACUCUCCAGAGCCCUCGCUUAAACCACCACUUCCUCGGUGGCCACUACCUUCCACCGUCGCUUUCUCUCAAUCGGCGGCAAUAUUGCCAAUUCCGGUUCGUACAGCCGUCGCUCAGCUGGAGUGGUAUCUGUCGUUUCAAGAGGUCUAUGCUAAGGAACUGCUGCCGGCUAAUUUGGUUCCUAAGGAGGUUGUUCUUUAUCUGCAUGAGGGUGUCCUUGCAUCCGACGCAGUUAAAGAUGGGUUGAAAAUCACUUGGUGCAUGUCUUAUACAGAAACAUAUUUCGGGACACUUUGGAGGCUCAUGAAUACUAUUACUAUCUAAAAGGCAAUUGUAAGAUUUUUUCUGGAAAUACAUCUCUAUGUAUGUGUUGACAUUGUACAAUAAAAAAAUUUGUUUGAACCAAAGAAACGAGCAAAAAACAUCCAACCAUGUAUUACCAUCA